rnacentral:rRNA from 1 species
ACGCUCGACACCUACGGGAGGCAGCAGUGGGGAAUAUUGCACAAUGGGGGAAACCCUGAUGCAGCGACGCCGCGUGAGCGAAGAAGUAUUUCGGUAUGUAAAGCUCUAUCAGCAGGAAAGAAGAAAGACGGUAUCUGACUAAGAAGCCCCGGCUAACUACGUGCCACAGCCGCGGUAAUCUGAGCGGGCUGGCAAGGC